UAUGAGUACAGCGACUGCAAUUAGAAGGCAUCAUGUUAAUGUUACUACUUAGCUUCGGCUGUUGGAGGUCCUGACGAACCGUGUCCAGAUAAAGCGUCCGGAGUGAAAAAGUUGAGG